GGAUCGCCUGUUUAUCAAAAACAUUGUCUCAUGUACCACAUAUGAGAUAAUACCUGCCCAGUGACACUUGUUCAACGGCCGCGGUAUCCUAACCGUGCAAAGGUAGCAUAAUCACUUGCCUAUUAAUUGUAGGCUAGAAUGAAAGGGUUAACGAAAUAAAGACUGUCUCAGUUAGCCAGCUAAAAAUUAAUAUCUAUCUGAAGAAGGGUAGAUACACUCGAAGGACAAGAAGACCCUAUAGAGCUUAAUUUUACUUAUAGAACCUCACUAUAAAAAUAUUCGGUUGGGGCGACCCCGGGUAAAAUAAUCACCCAAAUUAUAAAAGAUACAUUAAUCAAACAACUGACCCUUAAAAGAUCAUAAAAACAAGCUACCUUAGGGAUAACAGGCUAAUCCCACUCAAGAGUCCUUAUCAACAGUGGGGUUUGGCACCUCGAUGUUGGCUUAGGGUAUCUAUAUAGCGCAAAAGUUAUAUGAAGAUGGUUUGUUCAACCAGUAACAUCCUACGUGAUCUGAGUUUCAGACCGGA
rnacentral:rRNA from 1 species